UGGGUGAUGCCUCCCUUUAAAAUAGAUUGGACGCUGUAAUCAGAAGAUGCCAUAGGAGUUUGGAAUGACAGUUGGGAUGUUGGAACUGGAAAGUUCUGGGGCAGUUGGGGAGAGAUGGAACAUUAAUCCCAAGAUUCUAUAGCAACUGAAGGUGGAUUUGGAUAGCUGGAGAAGUCUGAAGAAAGCACAGUGACAGCAGCAGGAUCCUUUUGAGGAAGAGAGAAAUAGGAAGCAGGACAAUGUAUAUGAAAAGAACUCUGUAAGGGACAUGGGAAAAGAAUUGCAGGGAUGGAAUAAAAGGAUAAACCAAUCUGAGCAAGGGAAAAGUGGCGGAAAGAGACUGAAAAGAUAAAUGUGCCUCAGUUUCUUCCUCGGAAGGGUUUGAAUUGCUGUCUCAGGCCUUAAAAUAAGAGCUUUGUUUUUCCCCAUUGGCAAAAUUCUUCACUCCACAGGCCAAGUUCUGCCUUUGUGUAAAAUUCCUGCAGCUGUCCUGGGGGAGAGCUUAUGAUUUUGAUUUCAGAAGAGCAGCACUGCCAUUCCUCAUGGAGCCAUGGGAGGGUGCUGCUGGAUUGGCCAGCGUCUCUUGCUUGACUCAUAUGAUGACUGUUGAAUAACCUCUCGCUAUAUAUAAUGGAAUAUUCACCCAUCAGCCCAGAUGUUGAGAACUCCCACUUCUGCUAAUCUUACGCAUUUGCAGUAAGAGGCUACUCAGUCCUUUAGUCUGACUGGAAUUGUAAUGGGGUAGAGGACAGGGAGAAUUUCUCAUGACUAAUAUCCUGAAACCUGGGUAUCUAAUGUGAAUCCUCUCGGGGAAUAUCAGUCUCAAGUCAAAGAAAUUUGGUCUUUAAGAGGGUCACUAACUGUACUGUAGGUGACUAAGUUACUGUCUGCUGUACAGUCUGGUUAAUGUAAAACAUGACGUUGCUGUAAAUUGCAGAAUUACAUAUAAACAGAGUAGCUUCAUG